UGCGCAGGCGGGCUUGUAAGUCAGUGGUGAAAUACUGCCGCUUAACGGUAGAACUGCCAUUGAUACUGCAAGUCUUGGAUAUGGUUGAGGUAGGCGGAAUGUGUUGUGUAGCGGUGAAAUGCAUAGAUAUGACACAGAACGCCGAUUGCGAAGGCAGCUUACUAAGCCAUUAUUGACGCUGAGGCACGAAAGCGUGGGGAGCGAACAGGAUUAGAUACCCUGGUAGUCC
rnacentral:rRNA from 1 species